CCUACGGGGGGCAGCAGUGGGGAAUAUUGGGCAAUGGGGGAAACCCUGACCCAGCAACGCCGCGUGAGGGAAGAAGGUUUUCGGAUCGUAAACCUCUGUCCUUGGUGAAGAGAAGAAGACGGUAGCCAAGGAGGAAGCCCCGGCUAACUACGUGCCAGCAGCCGCGGUAAUACGUAGGGGGCAAGCGUUAUCCGGAAUUACUGGGUGUAAAGGGAGCGUAGACGGCUGUGCAAGUCUGGAGUGAAAGGCGGGGGCCCAACCCCCGGACUGCUCUGGGAACUGUAUGGCUGGAG
rnacentral:rRNA from 1 species